GUAUGUUUGCUGAUGAAACUAGUGCCAUGCAAACGGGGUACACUUACAGUGAUUGUAUCGUUGAUUGUCGAGCAACGGCAAUAUGGAAAGCGUGCAGUUGUCGGCCUUUCUUCCUGCCGAGACGUGGUAACGAUGAAUAUUCCCGCAAAGUUUGCAAUACAGAGGAUGAACCGUGCCUGCGUGCUCAUAAAAGCGCUUGGUGGUCAGUUUUACCGCACACUCCCGAUGCCGAGGAGUCAUUGAGUUACGAUAAGGCGAUUGGGGAUAGAAGUGAGUCCUUGAAAUGUACAAAUUGUUAUCCGACGUGUACAGACACUCGUUACUAUCUGCAAAUGCAAGCUACACCACUCGAACCGGGGAAGCAACAUCACACUGAGUUAUUGUAAUAAUCCCAGGCUUUAGUUUUGCAGUUGCGAUGUUAAUGUCUCUAUUUUACAGACCCAAUUUUGAAACGAGAAAUCAAAGCAUUUUACAUAUUUACUUCAAGAAAUUCGGGAGUGUUCGGCUUAAGCAGGCUAUGGGGUACUACUGGUAUGAGUUGAUAAGUGAUAUUGGCGGAACAUGCGGAGUUUUCGUUGGAUUCAGUCUCCUCAGCAUCGUCGAACUCUUCUAUUUCAUUAUUCAACGCACUUGUGCCUCUCCUUGUCGAUGCGGUUGCUCAAAGAUUCCCGAAUCAAAAGAUCAAUUAAAAAUCAAUAUAACAACCGUCGAUGGUGGACUCUACUGGAAUGAACUAAUGAACGACCCUCAAAUCCAUUUCAAAGGUCGCGUAUCCCGAAAGCGAAGGAUACAGAGGGACUG